AAGAUAACCAGCGUUGCAACCUUCGCCUGGGAGGAGGCGUUCGGCAAUCGGCUAGCGUCUGUUGUCAUUUGGAAUGGAAACGAGCGAACGUUUCAUUUAAAUAUAGUUUAUUAAAUCGAUUCAUCCCACGAUCCGGCCACCUCAUUCUUUGGAAAUAGGCCCUUGGUUCCAGUUCAUCGCAGCAGCCUUUAAAUUAAAACAGCAUCAAAAUUGAAAUCAAGAUGGAGCCAACAAAA